UCGCUGGUGGAUACUGUUCUGAGGAUUUCUCUCUUAACCUUGCUAACUCCCUCAACCUUCUCUUGAUAGAUGAUUCUAUCAUCAUUAUAUUGCAUACGUUCCAUCUCCCAUCCAACCUUCGCUUCUAGGGUAUGUUUGAUAGGGAUUUCUGAGGGAGAUGGUUUGGAUAGUUGACUGAUUCGAUCAGGGGUUUCAUCACUGAUGAAUUCUAGUACAUCAAACUCUAUGGCAAGAUCUAAUAUUAUCUUGUACCAUAAGUUCCAAUUCUUGGAGGAGUCCAAGACGAUUGUCGAUUUUGAUGAAGCAAUUUCUGUUGCCAUCGUGCUGGAAUAAUGUCGAUAUAGGAAAUCGACGAAUCUGUUGAUAUUAUAGAUCAAACAGAUAUAGGAUCGAUAUAGGGUAUGCCGAUAUCGUCGCCGAUAAGGAGGUCGG
rnacentral:sRNA from 1 species